AGCAGCCGCGGUAAUUCCAGCUCCAAUAGCGUAUAUUAAAGUUGUUGCAGUUAAAAAGCUCGUAGUUGAAUUUCGGGGUUAGUAGGUUGGUCAUGCCUCUGGUAUGUACUGGUCUCACUGAUUCCUCCUUCCUGAUGAACCUUAAUGCCAUUUAUUUGGUGUUUUGGGGAAUUUGGACUGUUACUUUGAAAAAAUUAGAGUGUUUAAAGCAAGCUAACGCUUGAAUACAUUAGCAUGGAAUAAUGAAAUAGGACGUUCGAUCCUAUUUUGUUGGUUUCUAGGAUUGACGUAAUGAUUAAUAGGGAUAGUUGGGGGCAUUAGUAUUCAAUUGUCAGAGGUGAAAUUCUUGGAUUUAUUGAAGACUAACUACUGCGAAAGCAUUUGCCAAGGAUGUUUUCAUUAAUCAAGAACGAAAGUUAGGGGAUCGAAGACGAUCAGAUACCGUCGUAGUCUUAACCAUAAACUAUGCCGACUAGGGAUCGGAUGAUGUUAAUUUUUUAAUGACUCAUUCGGCGCCUUACG
rnacentral:rRNA from 4 species